GAAGGGCUACUAAACUGGUUCAUGGAUUGCGGGAUAAAACUUACCAGGAAAGGUUAAAGGAUCUUAACAUGUAUAGCUUAAAGGAAAGACGAGACAGGGGGGAUAUGAUAGAAACAUUUAAAUAUAUAAAGGGAAUCAACACAGUAAAGGAGGAGACUAUAUUUAAAAGAAGAAAAACUACCACAACAAGAGAACAUAGUCUUAAAU